rnacentral:lncRNA from 1 species
CGGUCUGGGGCGGCCGGACGGCGGCGGUCUGGCGGUCGGAAAACGGGACAGCGGGAGGGCUCGGGUGCGGGAGCGGGUGAGGAGAGAAAAUCGGGAGGAAAAAGAAUGGGUUUGGGCCUCACACCCCAAACCGGUCCAUCACUUAUAAACUAUCCAAAUUCUAAAAUUAAACACCCCGAAAAAUAAUACCCGAAUAAAAAUUACCUUUUACUAGCUAAAAUUUACCAUUUUUACCGUCGUCGUAUUUUCCUCAUACGAAUAAUCCUCCGCACAUAAUCGUCCCCGAAACCCCUCUAGGGACCAAUUAAACUAUUUACUCAAUGAUCGAGACGGUAAAAUUCUUAUUGUAAUCAGGCUAGUAAAUAAGGUAAAAAAUAUAAGGGUCGGGAUGUGACAGUAGUAAUGUUGUUCUGCACCCAGUAAUAAACUUUACUGGGGGUAGUAAUGUUUCCGGAACCUCAGUUUUUGUUGUUCUGCACCCUAGAACAUACUUUACUAGGGGUAGUAAUGUUUCCAAAGUAUCAGAUUUUGUUGUUCUGCACCCUAACACAUAUUUUACUGGGGGCAGUAAAGUUUCCAGAGCAUAAAAAAACACAUUGCUGAUGGUAGUAAACCAUUACUUUACUAGGUAUUAAAUUCCCUUAAAUUUAUAUGAAAGUUUCAAAAUAGAACUUAAAAUUGGAUCUCAGUCUUAGUUGUGAUAUCUGUCCACAAUUCUAGCAAAAGUUACAUAAAUCAUUUGUUUAAUUUCGCAAACUCCUCUAACAUCUUCUUCCUCAUUUGGUUGCCGCCUUCUUGGUUUGGAUCCAACCCAGCACACAUUGCCUCCAUAUAAUGUAAAACAAAUGGACCACAAUCAGACCUGCCAUAAAUCGAAGGGCUAACUAUGUUAUUAACUUAUUUUGACUGAGAAAAUAAAUCUGAAUAUUAAUGUACAUUACUACCCCCUCAUUUAUGCUGUUCUACCCCCCCCCCCUAACAAAAAACAUUUACCAGGGGUAGUAAACUCUCAAAGCAUCUGGUUAUGUAGUUAUCAACCCAAACAAACAAUGAUACAUGUACAAGAAGAAUAUUCAUGUACUUACGAUGAUACAUUUUGCUAGGGGCAUGUGCGGUGUUCGGUCAGUUUGUAUGGUUUGUGAUGGAUGUUAUUAUCAAUAAUCCAACGUCUUGUCACCUUUUCGUCCUCUGUCAUUUUCACUAUGUUGCUAGGUUUUCUGCCUUGACUGUCCUCGGGUGCGUAAUCAAUCGCGUAAUCUUCCUUGUAUUCAUUCUGGUCAAGGUCUUGGCUCAAAUUAAACACAGUUGUAUAAUGUAUACGUUUGAUGAACUCCUUGAUGUGCUUCACCUGUAUAUUAAGCAACAAAACAAUUU